GUAAAAGUGUACUUACUCACUGUGAAGUAAAAAUGCACUGCAGUGAUGUUGCAGUGAUACUCUUGCCAGAAUAACCUACUUUUCAUGAAACCAGAGUAGUCAGAAGACUGGCAUUUAUGCCAGCUGCAUUGCCAAGCUCCUGCACAAGAGCAGAGCUUAGCAUCUGAGCAUUCGCAUCAUUCUGAGUAUUCUUGCAUAUCAUUUUUGCUCGUUAAACCUUGCUACAAGACAUUAAUUUUCAGCAGCCAAGCCUGACAGCUUUGGUCAAUCUUUCGUGCUCUGAGCUGGUUUGAUGCAAUACUUUUAACGGAAUUUCUUUAUUGCUGUUUAUUAUGUGGUCAGUGACAGGUUUUUAUGCAAGAAUGUUAAAUGGUUCCUUCAGUGAAAAAGCCGGCAGCACCUGUAGCAGCAAAACGGUGCCUAAUUUCCCGUUGACUGUGACGCCAUGUGAGCACACGAGGCGCGCUCAUGACACUAGCUUGCACUUGCUGGCUCGUGUCUCAGCAGAGGAAAGCGAGUGAAGGGGAACAUCUGCUGCUGCGCUACUUCGCGAGGGGAGAGUGCAUUGCUACGACAAAACAUCACCUUCCCUCUCGCAAGCCUGUGUUACCACCUGUUCCUUGUCUACUCAAGCUCUUGUGUGUGUUCUAACUGCGCCUCGGUGAGGCUAAAUCAAUAUGUGCCAAGCGUCUUAACGUGCCCGCUUGCCCGCGAGGAGUUCAUAACUCGGACUGCUCAGUGGCGUUCAGUUGGACAUUAAAGUAUUCACAACUCAUAAGAAGUGCUUAGGUAUCCUCGGAUUUUCUUCGUACUUAAUGCACAAACUUCGAAGUCAUUUUUCCUGGCGAAAUUAGUUAAAUAUCAUCGUCCUUUGUCUGCUGUCCGGCCUUUGUGUGAGCCUUAUACAUCUUCGCAGCCACUCCUGUCAUGCACAGUAAUUUGUGUACUUGUGCUUGUAUCUUCCAUGGCAUAUGAUUAAUUAAUGCAUUUUAUUUGCAUGAUCCAACUAAACAUGAUCUCAAAAAGCUUCACUUGACUGCUUGCUUGUCCCUGUGGCUACAUUGUGUGGAUGUACUAUCAGCGUCAAAUGAAACGCAAACAGCAGAGUGCAUGCCUGUAGCAUCACUGAAUGUAUAGUGCACACACUUGGCCAAUCAUCACCCUCACAGGCGUGCACAUCUGGUUUCACAACACUGUGCAAUGAUGCCCUAUACUGAGAUAUUUUUCUUUCUGUUUUGCUUCUUGCUUUCUUAGAUUUUUGGUUUUUUUUGCUUUGAAAUAAAAGGAAAGCAUAACAGAAAGAAAAUUUGACUGCAUUCAAUGUGUUAGAAAACGUUCACUUCAAUAUUUUUUUCUCACACUUCAAUCAAAAGCAGUGUGGCAACACCGAGUCUUGAUGAAAUGAAUUGGCACCCUCGGAAACUGUUCCCACUGGUAAUCGAAGCUGAUCUUGAAGGUCAUGCUUUUGUCUACUGCAAAAACUGGAACUGAUUUCAGGAGCUGGGAAAUACGUUAUGGCCCUCAUUCAUUGUUUUGCUUUUGCAUCUUGGCAGUUUGCUGCUGCUAUUUAUAGCACAAGUGAAGGAAUUGUAGCACAAGUAACACUGACACAUGUGCUGCCCUUUUUGGUGCCAGAGUGUGUGAAGGAAGGCUGCUAUCUGGUCUUGAAAUCCAUCGAAGCAGCCUUAUUCCCAGACAUCACACAGCCUUGCCAAUAUGGCGGUUGGCACGAAGGGUCUAGAGGCAGCGACUUGAAAUAGAAUUUUCGACUUACCAUACCAGAAAUGGUUUUAUUUCCAACAAACUUUGUUGGGUGUCCUCCAGGCGAAAAGCUGCAACAUGCAGCUUUAAUGUGCCUGAAGGCCCUCGCAUGGCAGCAGUAAGUCUCCUAUCGGCAAACGUAUAACAUACGAAACACUAAUAUAUUAGGAUAUACAUUUACAAUGUAGCAAAAGAAAUGUGUGAAAUCUAAAGAAACAUUCAUCUUUUCAGAUAAUUAUAUAGUAUUUAUAAAAUAAAUUCUUCUUAAUGCACAACAAAGCUAAGAUGCAUAUUAUAUGUAUUAUACAUCCCAAAGGAUCACAUUUCAAAAAUAAGCACUACAGACAACAUGUCUAGCAUGUACACUCGCCCACAAAAUGUUACAGGGUGCGCAAGCGUGUGGCAAAACGACCCUUCUUCCCUUCUAGCUGUGCACCCAUGGUAUCGAGUUUGCACGCAUGCGCGUCCCUCUGAGACUGCAAGCGUGCAUGUUUCUGCACUUCCUCCUUGUGCGCCGGCGAUAUCCGAAUGUAGCCGUGAGGUGCCCCUCUUGCGAUGGGCGCGAAACUAUGUGAAGCCUGAGCUUGCGCGUGCCACUGCGGCUGCUUUUUGUCGAGUCACGAGCGCCGACGCAUACGGCCCAGUGGCGAACCCAGCAAGUAAUUUUUUUUUAAUGAGCUGCACCAUUUUGUGUCCAAUCUUUGUUGUUUCUUUUUAUGAAUGGGGCAUUCUCCCACAAAAGAGCAUGUCAGAAAAUGCCCGCUAUAGAAGGAGACAGUGUCAACUCCCAUUGAAGACCAGCAGUUAGGACACAUGGACCUGUGACAGAAAAGCUGCCGGAUGGAUCUGGGACAGCGACGCUGGCCUGUACUUUCCUAUCGUCUCCAUUAUCCAUGGCAACCUGCUUUCAAGUCAUAGAAGGAAAAGGUGGAGAAAGACACACGCAGUCACUUCAUUGCAAGGACAGGUACAGAGACUUGCGGCCACCUGAAAAAGAAGCAUUUCUACUUCCGUCUGUCACCGGUCUGGAAGUUAUGCUUCACAAGCUACAAGUAAACAAAAGCUGAAGCGGCCUUCAAGUGUCAAGUGUGGAAAAAGAUGUUUUGCGGCAAUGGCUGUGACUGAAGACAACACAGGUGUGUAUGUGGUUUUCCAAUUCAAGCACAGAGGCCACGACUUUGAACUGGGUCGUGUUUUUCUGUCCAAGUCGGAAAGAGCCGCUAUUGCUGACAAGCUGCGAGAAGGCGUGUCCAUGGAUGCAGUACUGGAUAAUGUGCGGUCCAACGUGGAUGAGACAUUCCACCGCAUUAACCUGUUAAGCAAGUGGGAUCUUCGCAAAAUAAUGAGGGAUGCCAGAGUCUCGAAGACCGAGCGGCUGCACGAU